rnacentral:rRNA from 1 species
UACAUGGGGUGCAAACGUUGCUCGGAAUUAUUGGGCGUAAAGCGCACGUAGGCGGUUCGUUAAGUCGGAUGUGAAAGCCCUCGGCUCAACUGAGGAAGUGCACCCGAAACUGGCGAGCUUGAGUACGAAAGAGGAUCGCGGAAUUCCCGGUGUAGAGGUGAAAUUCGUAGAUAUCGGGAGGAACACCGGUGGCGAAGGCGGCGAUCUGGGUCGAUACUGACGCUGAGGUGCGAAAGCGUGGGGAGCAAACCGG